CAAUAGCGUAUAUUUAAGUUGUUGCAGUUAAAAAGCUCGUAGUCGGAUUUUGGCUGAGAACGAUCGGUCCGCCGUUAGGUGUGCAAUGAUUGGUCUCAGCUUCCUGGUGAGGAGGUGUGCUUCACGGCCACUUAGUCACCGUGGUUACUUUGAAAAAAUUAGAGUGUUCAAAGCGGGCUUACGCUUGAAUAUAUUAGCAUGGAAUAACACCAUAGGACUCCUGUCCUAUUUCGUUGGUCUCGGGACGGGAGUAAUGAUUAAGAGGAACAGUUGGGGGCAUUCGUAUUUCAUUGUCAGAGGUGAAAUUCUUGGAUUUAUGAAAGACGAACUUCUGCGAAAGCAUUUGCCAAGGAUGUUUUCAUUGA
rnacentral:rRNA from 1 species